UACGAAGGGGGCUAGCGUUGCUCGGAAUUACUGGGCGUAAAGCGCACGUAGGCGGCUUUCUAAGUCGGGGGUGAAAUCCUGGAGCUCAACUCCAGAACUGCCUUCGAUACUGGAAAGCUCGAGUCCGGGAGAGGUGAGUGGAACUGCGAGUGUAGAGGUGAAAUUCGUAGAUAUUCGCAAGAACACCGGUGGCGAAGGCGGCUUCCUGGACCGAUACUGACGCUGAGGCGCGAAAGCUAGGGGAGCAAACGGG
rnacentral:rRNA from 1 species